GUGCUCGCUUCGGCAGCACAUAUACUAAAAUUGGAACGAUACAGAGAAGAUUAGCAUGGCCCCUGCACAAGGAUGGCUUCUAUUACUCAACAUUUAAGUUUGU